rnacentral:rRNA from 1 species
AACGAACGCUGGCGGCAGGCCUAACACAUGCAAGUCGAGCGCCCCGCAAGGGGAGCGGCGGACGGGUGAGUAACACGUGGGAACGUACCCUUUGCUACGGAAUAGUCUCGGGAAACUGGGGGUAAUACCGUAUGUGCCCUUCGGGGGAAAGAUUUAUCGGCAAAGGAUCGGCCCGCGUUGGAUUAGGCAGUUGGUGGGGUAAUGGCCUACCAAGCCGACGAUCCAUAGCUGGUUUGAGAGGAUGAUCAGCCACACUGGGACUGAGACACGGCCCAGACUCCUACGGGAGGCAGCAGUGGGGAAUCUUAGACAAUGGGCGCAAGCCUGAUCUAGCCAUGCCGCGUGAGCGAUGAAGGCCUUAGGUGUAAAGCUCUGUCGGGAGGGACGAAGGGUGGCGAACACUCUGGCGGUA